GGCAGAAAGAUGUAUUCAGUUGCGGGCUUACAGCUAUGCAUAGUGAAUCAUCAAGCCCUGUUGGGAUGAGAUGGACAGAUUCCUUAGCAAUUCGCCAGAUGACUCCAACAUUUACUUGUAGUUUCUUCUGGUGGAAGAAACUUAGCUGGUUCCAAUUUCUGCACUGGAGGAUUCCUUGGCUGAAGAAGAUACAACUGUUUGUCAUGGCAAUGACAGUAACCAUGCAUUACUCAUCAUAGCUUCAGACCCUUGGGGAUUCCAAGUACAACAGACUACUGAAGAGCUCCCCUUUGAGGGUUGGGUAUUAUUUUCCUUAAAGACUGUCAAAGCGAUACAUACUUUAAAGACUCAAAAGUAAUAUUGAAAUCCCUAGAUCUUUUUACACCAGCCCUGAAAAGAACAAAAUUUUGCUCUCAAUUUCUUCGGAGGCAGCAUUAUUGCAUACCUAGACAAGCAGAUCAGUAAAGGGCGAAGCACAAAAAGCAAAGGAGACGACCCCAUCCAUUGCCCUCCAGUGUUUCCACCACACAACCCCAUGUCUGAGGCUGUUUGACUCCCCCAUUAAGGAUGGCAGAAUGACCAUCUGGCUUGCACCAAAAAUCAUCCCUCCUGUGAGAGCAGGUUGUCACAUUUGCUAAGUACAUAGCAGUCCAUCACUUCAGACAAGCAAGUGCUAAGCAUGGUGGAAUCAGGGAUAUACCUUGCAGUUCCUGUCUUCUCUCCCCUUCCCAUCCACCUUCUCUUUCCCUCAUUAA